AGUGAACGCUGGCGGUAGGCCUAACACAUGCAAGUCGAACGGCAGCACAGUAAGAGCUUGCUCUUACGGGUGGCGAGUGGCGGACGGGUGAGGAAUACAUCGGAAUCUACUUUUUCGUGGGGGAUAACGUAGGGAAACUUACGCUAAUACCGCAUACGACCUACGGGUGAAAGCAGGGGAUCUUCGGACCUUGCGCGAUUGAAUGAGCCGAUGUCGGAUUAGCUAGUUGGCGGGGUAAAGGCCCACCAAGGCGCCGAUCCGAAGCUGGUCUGAGAGGAUGAACCGCCACACUGGCACAGAGACACGGUCCAGACUCCUACGGGAGGCAGCAGUGGGGAAUAUUGGACAAUGGGCGCAAGCCUGAUCCAGCCAUACCGCGUGGGUGAAGAAGGCCUUCGGGUUGUAAAGCCCUUUUGUUGGGAAAGAAAAGCAGCAGGUUAAUACCCCGCUGUUCUGACGGUACCCAAAGAAUAAGCACCGGCUAACUUCGUG
rnacentral:rRNA from 1 species